GGGUCGGUAGCUCAGCUGGUUAGAGCGCUUCUCUGAUAAGGAAGAGGCCGAAGGUUCGAGUCCUUCUCGACCCACCA
rnacentral:tRNA from 1 species